AACGAACGCUGGCGGCAGGCCUAACACAUGCAAGUCGAACGCUCUCUUCGGAGGGAGUGGCAGACGGGUGAGUAACGCGUGGGAAUCUACCCAGCUCUACGGAAUAACGCAUGGAAACGUGUGCUAAUACCGUAUACGCCCCAUGGGGGAAAGAUUUAUCGGAGUUGGAUGAGCCCGCGUCUGAUUAGCUAGUUGGUGAGGUAAUGGCUCACCAAGGCGACGAUCAGUAGCUGGUCUGAGAGGAUGACCAGCCACACUGGGACUGAGACACGGCCCAGACUCCUACGGGAGGCAGCAGUGGGGAAUAUUGGACAAUGGGCGCAAGCCUGAUCCAGCCAUGCCGCGUGAGUGAUGACGGCCUUAGGGUUGUAAAGUCCUUUCAGCUGGGAAGAUAAUGACGGUACCAGCAGAAGAAGCCCCGGCUAACUCCGUG
rnacentral:rRNA from 1 species